AAGAGCAUAAAAGACGCUAGGAUGUGCCAAUGUGCCAAGUACUUUUGAUUAGCAAACGCUUCACUGAUUUUGAUUGUCAGCUCAGCUAUGGGAAUCUGAUCUUGUGAUCUGCUGCUGAUUCUCCUGCGGAGCAGCUGCUAGUGCGUUGCACUAGUUCUGCUAAUAAACAUCAUUAGAUACGUCCAAACGUCAAAUUAACUAGCUAAGCGCUAACAACAAUGCCACUGCCUCGGAGCCUUUGCGAAAAUGCAAAUCGAAUUUUCCACAGAAAAACAGCCAUUUGCCCACUAAAAUAUAGGAAAUUGAUCUGGCGAUAAAUCGAGCUACUCAAUUUACAAAAACAACGCCGCCCUGGUACCGCUUUGACUUCUACUGGCUGCCGUUCGGUUGGCCGAGCAACUCGAACCAACUCGUCCUGGGACUGACUUCAGGUACAACAAUGAGGCAAACGGAAGCCGGAUUUGCAGCUUGCGUCUUGCGGCUAGCUGGCAAGGAUCGCACGGAUGUUUAAUAUUUUGGCUUAGAGACAUUCUCAUUAUAUUUGAAAACAAUGGCCCAUGAUGCGGCCUUGUCGACCGCCCGGCCAGGAUUUGAGCGUUUAGCAAAAGGGUAAUUGCGCAUGGAUAACCGCCUAACCAACGCAAUGAUCCACACAGACAUCGAGCUCGGACUCGAACUCAGACUCGGACACGAACUCGGAAUGACAAUCGGAGUUCGGCUCACAUCGAAGACCUGUCGUCGGAGCUAAGCUAGCUGAAAACCUGCCACAGACGCGGGGAUACGUGUCUUUCCACACCUGCCCCGGUAAGCAGGUCUGCGGAUCUGCGGCAUUCGCUUACGCGAAUUGCGUUAAUCACGCACGUCGCCCUUCAUUGAGGACGCGGAUUACUUAAUCAACGAAAAUCUAUGAAUUAAAAGUGUUACCGAAAAUCCGCCAGCUUCGGGCCAGAUUCCGACGAAGUUCUGGCCGCAGAGCCACUUGAGCUGAAGAGCUGCAGCAGCGAUUGAUCUGAGCUGGCUCCGGCUUAGCCCACACACCCACCCAACCCUGGGAGGGAGUUGAAGUUCAGUCUUGAGCUGAUUUAAAGCAGUUCAAGUGGACCGAACGGGCCCAAAGCUUGUGACACAAGUUAGUCCCUCGGCUGGUUGGUGGCUUAAUCAAGGAUUUCAAUUAGAGCCAACGGCUUAGUCAGGGCUUGCUCCACAUUUCGCCAGAGGAAAUCAAUAAGUGAAAAUUUUCUCUCUUUUUAUUGCGAAUGCGAAAAAAAGGGAAAACUACAAAUUAAGACCUAAACAAUGCAAAGCCAACAAUGUGCAGAAAAACGUUACUGAUGACAGAAUGAUGAGGAUUAAACCAACACAGGCGCACAGCUAGGACUACGACUGUAACAACAACAACCACAAUUGCAUAGAGCCUCACACACAUACACACACACAACCGUCGUCGUCGCCUCUGAGUCUAUUAAAAGUCUAAAGGCAGAUAAUAAAGGGCCAUUAGGACUUAAAAGGGCUCAACAACCCAGCGGCAGCAGUCGAAACGCUUUGUGCCCUCAGAGACAACAAAAUUUGUGCCGGAUUCAACAGCAGCAGCACCAAUAACAACAACAACAACAACAACAGCAUCUGCAGCAUCCAAGCAGAGUCGAGCAUGGACCUUGGCAAAGUCGAAAUGGCAGCAGCAACGAAGCAUAUUUAAUUCCAAAUCCCCGCAAGCAUUGAGCUAUGGGUGCUACGGGUUAGGGUAGGUUUUUGCACUAUGCUCCUGAAACUGAAUGUGUGUCAGUGCCAUAGACAUCACACACACUCACACACACACAUAUAUAUAUAUAUAUAUAUAUAUAUAUCUAUAUAGAGGAUAUAUUUGUAUGGAUGCAUUCAACAUUUCUAUUUACUUUGGCCAACGCAAUUACAACAAUUUUGCAGCAGCCAGCCAAAACGAUUGGCAACUGUUUUCCU